rnacentral:rRNA from 1 species
CCUACGGGGGGCUGCAGUGGGGAAUAUUGCACAAUGGGCGCAAGCCUGAUGCAGCCAUGCCGCGUGUGUGAAGAAGGCCUUCGGGUUGUAAAGCACUUUCAGCGGGGAGGAAGGCGUUAAGGUUAAUAACCUUGUCGAUUGACGUUACCCGCAGAAGAAGCACCGGCUAACUCCGUGCCAGCAGCCGCGGUAAUACGGAGGGUGCAAGCGUUAAUCGGAAUUACUGGGCGUAAAGCGCACGCAGGCGGUCUGUCAAGUCGGAUGUGAAAUCCCCGGGCUCAACCUGGGAACUGCAUUCGAAACUGGCAGGCUAGAGUCUUGUAGAGGGGGGUAGAAGUCGAGGUGUAGCGGGGAAAUGCGUAGAGAUCUGGAGGAAUACCGGUGGCGAAGGCGGCCCCCUGAACAAAGACUGACGCUCAGGUGCGAAAGCGUGGGGAGCAAACAGGAUUAGAUACCCGGGUAGUC